CAACCCUCAAGCCUAGCUUGGUAUUGGGUGUCACCAUUGUGGUGCUCCCUAAAAUUAGUGGCGGUGCCAUCUGGCCUCAAGCGUAGUAAUACUUCUCGCUUUGGAGGUUGGCGUGUGUGUCUGCCAGCAAUCACCAUUUUUCAAA
rnacentral:misc_RNA from 1 species